rnacentral:tRNA from 1 species
GGACCGGUGACCCGAGUGGCGAAGGGCUCGGACUUUUAAUCCGAUAUACAAACACCGUGGGUUCAAUUCCCACCCGGUCCUCCA